UACGACUACAUAUCAGGCAUAUCAAUAAGCGGAGGAAAAGAAACUAACUAGGAUUCCCUUAGUAACGGCGAGUGAAGCGGGAAGAGCUCAAAUUUGAAAUCUUCAAGGUUUUACCUUGACGAAUUGUAGUUUAAAGAAGUGUUUUCUGUUGGUGUUUUGGUAAAAGUUCUUUGGAAUAGGACAUCAUAGAGGGUGAGAAUCCCGUAUUUGACCAUUUACUUCCAGCUGUGUGAUACACUUUCAAAGAGUCGGAUUGUUUGGGAAUGCAGUCCAAAAUGGGUGGUAAAUUUCAUCUAAAGCUAAAUAUUGGCGAGAGACCGAUAGCGAACAAGUACCGUGAGGGAAAGAUGAAAAGAACUUUGAAAAGAGAGUUAAACAGUACGUGAAAUUGUCAAAAGGGAAGCGUUUGACACCAGUGUUGUUUUUUCCGAAAAUCAAUUACGAAUGUUUUGUUUUUGAGGAGUUAUGACUUCAUCGGCUUGCUCCUUUCUUUACGAAACUUUCUUAAUGCACUUUUCGGUUAACAAGUCAACAUCAAUUUCUUUUGUUGUAAAAGGGUACGAUUGGAAGGUGGCUUUCACUUUCGGAUGAAAGUGUUUAUAGCCUUUGGCUUCUACAAUCGGAGAGAUUGAGGUCUGCAGCGUAGAUCCUUCGGGGUUAGAUACAUUAGAUGCUAAGUUAUAGUUUUUCAUAGACAACUUGUUGACUAUGAUUAGUCUAUGUAGCUUACUCGUUUAUGCACUAUUUUACCUACGCUUAGGAUGUUGAACGCGCACAGAGUCUC
rnacentral:rRNA from 1 species